AUGGCGGCGCUGUGUCAGACCCGUGCCUGUGGCUGCCAAGAGACAUUUUCCGCGAAUGUUUCUCUUCUUUAGGCCCUUUCCGGGCGUAGGGACUGACAGCGGAUCCGAAAGUGGGAGCUCCGAUGCCACGGAGCCUAAGACGCGCCCAGGCGGCUUCGCAAGCACCUUGGAGCGGCACUCGGAUGUACUGCAGAAGGUGGAGCCCCGGCGGGGCUCUCCAAAAAAUGUAGAAUCUUUCGCAUCUAUGCUGAGACAUUCUCCUCUUAUACAGAUGGGACCUGCUAAGGAUAAACUGGUCAUUGGACGGAUCUUUCAUAUCGGUGGAGAAUGAUCUUUACAUAGAUUUUGGUGGAAAAUUUCAUUGUGUAUGUAGAAGACCAGAAGUGGAUGGAGAGAAAUAUCAGCAAGGAACCAAGGUCCGCUUGCGGCUCUUAGGUCUGGAACUUACAUCUAGGUUCCUGGGAGGAACAACAGAUACAACUAUACUAGAGGCUGAUGCAGUUCUCUUAGGACUCCUGGAGACAAAAGACUCAAAAUCAAAAGAGGAACAUCAUGAAAAAUAAAUGAACUUUGCCUAGUGGAUUCACUCUUUUGAUGAAGUCAGAUAUUCAUCAAGAAUGCAAUUAGAAAAUUGUGAAUAAAUGAUUGAAUGAAGAUAUAAUAAAUAAAAGCUAUAAUUAU